GCAUAUCAAUAAGCGGAGGAAAGAAACCAACAGGGAUUGCCCAGUAACGGCGAGUGAAGCGGCAACAGCUCAAAUUUGAAAUCUGGCCCCAGGCCCGAGUUGUAAUUUGCAGAGGAUGCUUUUGGCGCGGUGCCUUCCGAGUUCCCUGGAACGGGACGCCAUAGAGGGUGAGAGCCCCGUACGGUUGGACACCAAGCCUUUGUAAAGCUCCUUCGACGAGUCGAGUAGUUUGGGAAUGCUGCUCUAAAUGGGAGGUACAUUUCUUCUAAAGCUAAAUAUUGGCCAGAGACCGAUAGCGCACAAGUAGAGUGAUCGAAAGAUGAAAAGCACUUUGAAAAGAGGGUUAAACAGCACGUGAAAUUGUUAAAAGGGAAGCGCUUGUGACCAGACUUGCGUCCGGUGAAUCACCCAGCUCUCGCGGCUGGGGCACUUCGCCGGCACAGGCCAGCAUCAGCUUGCCGUCGGGGACAAAAGCUUCAGGAACGUGGCUCCUCUCGGGGAGUGUUAUAGCCUGUUGCACAAUACCCUUCGGCGGGCUGAGGUACGCGCUCCGCAAGGAUGCUGGCGUAAUGGUCAUCAGCGACCCGUCUUGAAACACGGACCAAGGAGUCAACCUUAUGUGCGAGUGUUUGGGUGUUAAACCCCUACGCGUAAUGAAAGUGAACGCAGGUGAGAGCUUCGGCGCAUCAUCGACCGAUCCUGAUGUUCUCGGAUGGAUUUGAGUAAGAGCAUAUAGGGGUUGGACCCGAAAGAAGGUGAACUAUGCGUGUGUAGGGUGAAGCCAGAGGAAACUCUGGUGGAGGCUCGCAGCGGUUCUGACGUGCAAAUCGAUCGUCAAACAUGCUCCUGGGGGCGAAAAACUUAUCGAACCUUCUAGUAGAUGGUUUCCGCCGAAGUUCCC
rnacentral:rRNA from 1 species